rnacentral:lncRNA from 1 species
UUGGAUUAAAUGAAUCAAAAGAAAAUAAAGGAACAUAAAUAAAUAGAGUUGUGCAGAAAUAAAAGAAAAUGCAUGUCUCACCGUCGUCCAUCCCUACGUUGUAAAACACUUCUUACGGCAUUAAAAGUGUUCCCUCGUUUUAUUUUGGUAGAAAAAGUUCAAGUUAUUUUACACUAAAUUCAUCUAAGCUACAAGGAGGGAAAUUCGAACACAGGACCUCAAGUGAAUGGUCGAAUGUCUUAAUCAAUUGAGUUACAAAUCAUUUAUCACAAAACUGUUACUAGUACUAUCCGAUUAUUUUUGCUCCCAACAACUGUUUGGUGAUGCUCAGUAUGAUUCUUGAAGUCGUAUCCUGGCAUAUGUUGUACUGCAAGUGUAUGGUACUGCAACUCUUCUCUGUUUCGUACUACUAAAAGCAGGGCAAACGGCGUGUAGGGUUUGCAUGUUAAGCGUGAGUGAUCGGCAUCUUUUUCCACAUUGUUCAUGUGUUUUCGAUUUGUCUGUUGCUCCAUUUGGGAUUACAUAAGGAUAAUACUGGGAAGUAACGUCCAUUUGUUUUAGGUCAUUCACUUUGUCUUUUGCCUUUCACCUAACAAACAGAGAGAAAUAAAGAAAAGCUGUCCCGCUUUAGUAGUUGACAAGUGACUUUCGUUAUGUAUCGUAUACAUGAUUUGUUUUUCAAUUUGAAAAUUUGCUAGCUAUGAAUAAUUAGCCAAGUUGUAAACCCUUGAGUGUCUCGUACGUCACAUAUGCUCACUCAUGUUGGAUCAUAUAUAGAUGUUGGAUGCUUACCUCCUUUUUUAUUUAAAAGCAAACCAAUUGGUGGGUUCGUCAUGACACUCCAUCAGGGGUUGGAAAGAGUCACAAAGGUAUUUCAGCCUUAUUCUGACCACUAUUGUGUGAUUCAUCAGUGCCAAGAAUCGAAUUCAAGACGUGUCGUGUUAGGUGCUGACAUAAGUUGGAAAAGAUUUGAAGCUUUGGCUAUACCUCUUACAUUGUGGUCUCAACGAUAGAUGAAACUAACACAAAUUCCAAAUAGCAUUGUUAAAAUUGGAUUAAAGAACCCAUUGUUUUAUCUAAUUUAUAUUGCUCGUGUUGGAAAUAAAAUAUGAAGUAUAGAACAAAGAGAGAAUAGAUAGAGGGACGAGACAAGAUUAAAAGGAGAAUCAAAGUGUUUUUUCUUCUUAUUAGAGUGUUUGUUUAUAGGCUUGGAGUUUUAAAUAUUUUUCCUUUUAACAAUAGUAUUUUGGGGUGUGAUAUCCACACACCCCAUUAUUUCUCACAUACCUUUUUAAUUUUCGACCGUCGGAUCGGAUGAAUUGAAAAAGAUCAACGGACAUAAAUUAUUAAGGGGUGUGUGAGAGAAGUAAAAUGGGAUGUGUUGAUAGCACACCUCUAGUAAUUUAUAUGGUUUGUUUUAAAAACAAGCCUAAUAGGAUUAUU